GCGCUUGUAACUCAGUGAAUAGAGUAUUGUUUCAUAAGCAUAAUGUCGCAGGUUCGACCCCUACCUGGCGCA
rfam:Nicotiana sylvestris Nsyl_contig39109, whole genome shotgun sequence.